rnacentral:rRNA from 1 species
UACGUAGGGUGCAAGCGUUGUCCGGAAUUACUGGGCGUAAAGAGCUCGUAGGUGGUUUGUCGCGUUGUCCGUGAAAACUCACAACUCAAUUGUGGGCGUGCGGGCGAUACGGGCAGACUGGAGUACUGCAGGGGAGACUGGAAUUCCUGGUGUAGCGGUGGAAUGCGUAGAUAUCUGGAGGAAUACCGGUGGCGAAGGCGGCAUCCUGGACCAUUACUGACGCUGAGGCGCGAAAGCUAGGGGAGCAAACGGG